rnacentral:rRNA from 1 species
GGCUCAGGACGAACGCUGGCGGCGUGCUUAACACAUGCAAGUCGAGCGGAAAGGCCCUUUCGGGGUACUCGAGCGGCGAACGGGUGAGUAACACGUGAGUAACCUGCCCUUGGCCUUGGGAUAACCCUCGGAAACGGGGGCUAAUACCGGGUAUGACCUUCUGCCGCAUGGUGGGGGGUGGAAAGUUUUUCGGCCAGGGAUGGGCUCGCGGCCUAUCAGCUUGUUGGUGGGGUGAUGGCCUACCAAGGCGACGACGGGUAGCCGGCCUGAGAGGGCGAUCGGCCACACUGGGACUGAGACACGGCCCAGACUCCUACGGGAGGCAGCAGUGGGGAAUAUUGCACAAUGGGCGGAAGCCUGAUGCAGCGACGCCGCGUGGGGGACGACGGCCUUCGGGUUGUAAACCUCUUUCGCCCCUGACGAAGCGAGAGUGACGGUAGGGGGAGAAGAAGCGCCGGCCAACUACGUGCCAGCAGCCGCGGUAAGACGUAGGGCGCGAGCGUUGUCCGGAUUUAUUGGGCGUAAAGAGCUCGUAGGCGGCUCGUUGCGUCGGCUGUGAAAACCCACGGCUUAACUGUGGGCUUGCAGCCGAUACGGGCGGGCUAGAAUUCGGUAGGGGAGACUGGAAUUCCUGGUGUAGCGGUGAAAUGCGCAGAUAUCAGGAGGAACACCGGUGGCGAAGGCGGGUCUCUGGGCCGAUAUUGACGCUGAGGAGCGAAAGCGUGGGGAGCGAACAGGAUUAGAUACCCUGGUAGUCCACGCUGUAAACGUUGGGCGCUAGGUGUGGGGGGCCUCUCCGGUUCUCUGUGCCGCAGCUAACGCAUUAAGCGCCCCGCCUGGGGAGUACGGCCGCAAGGCUAAAACUCAAAUGAAUUGACGG